rnacentral:tRNA from 1 species
UCCCAGGUGGCUCAGUGGUAAAGAACCUGCCUGCCAAGCAGGAGACGUGGGUUCAGUUCCUGGGUUGGGAA